UACGUAGGCAGCGAGCGUUGUUCGGAAUUACUGGGCGUAAAGAGUGUGUAGGCGGUGCUCUAAGUUCGGUGUGAAAUCUCCUGGCUCAACUGGGAGGGUGCGCCGGAAACUGGAGUGCUUGAGCGUGGGAGAGGAAAGCGGAAUUCCUGGUGUAGCGGUGAAAUGCGUAGAUAUCAGGAGGAACACCUGUGGUGUAGACGGCUUUCUGGACCAUAGCUGACGCUGAGGAGCGAAAGCAUGGGGAGCGAACAGG
rnacentral:rRNA from 1 species